AAUUAAGACGAUACCUUAGAAAGGUGUAUUUGAUAUAAUAGUGUUAUAACUAGAGUAAACUUAAUAUAAAAAAUAAAACAUUGAAAAUGAUUUGUUAUUUUUAGUUUUUUCAUGUUCGUCUGACAAGAUUGAUGUUAGUAGCUAUAAGAGUGUCUAAAAAAAGAGCAAAUAUGUUCACAGUUAUUAGAGUGAGUUUAGCUUCUUAUAACAGUAACUUUUUGUUGACAGUUUCAUGUUUAGCUUUUUUUUCGGUUUAUUAUGUGAUGAGAUGAUUUUUGUUCAAAUUUCUUCUGAUCAAUUCAUGUAACAAAAUUUUCUUUUUAUCCAAUGUUCCCUGAUCGCAAAACCAUCACCACAGAUUACUUGGUUAAAAGCAAAAAACAAUGAUAAACCAACAGCAACAACCUACAAAGACAACCAGAGAACAUCUUUUGGCUUUAUUGAAUUAACUUCUGUUCCAAGCUAAUAGAGAUAAUAGUCUCUCUUUUAAUGGACUUGGUCUUGGCUAUUGCAACGGUUAGACUUUCAUGUAACAACUCUAUCAACUGAAACAAAGCCAGAAGACGAAAAGGACAAUGUAAAGACCUAAAGAAACCCUAGUUUUUACCUGGUAAAUGGACACAAGGGGAUUGAUGAUUUGUUUUU